AAACUGGGAUUAGAUACCCCACUAUGCCUGGCUGUAAAUUACUAGCCAAAAAAGUACAAGUCAACGCUUGAAACUUAAAGGACCUGGCGGUACUCUAUAUCAGUCUAGAGGGGCCUGCUCAAUAAUCGAUAAUCCACGAAAAACCUCACCACCUCUUGCCAUCAGCCUAUAUACCGCCGUCUUCAGCACAUUUCACAAAAAAUGAAGCUAAACAGUCACACACUAGCACGUCAGGUCAAGGUGUAGCUCAUGGGGUGGGUAGCGCGGACCACAAUACCACAACACACAAAAAUCUUAUUGAAACAUAAGAUGGAAGACGAAUUUAGCAGUAAGCGAAUAGAAUGCCCCGCUGAACCAAACAUGCCCUAGAGUACGCACACACCGCCCGGUCACCCU
rnacentral:rRNA from 1 species